rnacentral:rRNA from 1 species
GAUGAACGCUGGCGGCGUGCUUAACACAUGCAAGUCGAACGGAAAGGCUCCUGCUUGCAGGGGUACUCGAGUGGCGAACGGGUGAGUAACACGUGGGUGAUCUGCCCUGCACUUCGGGAUAAGCCUGGGAAACUGGGUCUAAUACCGGAUAGGACGAUGGUUUGGAUGCCAUUGUGGAAAGUUUUUCGGUGUGGGAUGAGCUCGCGGCCUAUCAGCUUGUUGGUGGGGUAAUGGCCUACCAAGGCGUCGACGGGUAGCCGGCCUGAGAGGGUGUACGGCCACAUUGGGACUGAGAUACGGACCAGACUCCUACGGGAGGCAGCAGUGGGGAAUAUUGCACAAUGGGCGCAAGCCUGAUGCAGCGACGCCGCGUGGGAGAUGACGGCCUUCGGGUUGUAAACUCCUUUCGCUAGGGACGAAGCGCAAGUGACGGUACCUGGAGAAGAAGCACCGGCUAACUACGUG